GUCACGCUGCUGAUUUGGAUUAUAUUAAAACAAAUGAAUCCAUCUACGUCACCUUUCAUCGUGAACUACUGUGAAUUCAAAUCUGUUCCUUCAUGCACUUUUGGAUCUCGGUCACCUCCCGCUCCUGGGGGUUGAGGGGGAUAAGUCCACAUUCAUCAACUGGUGGAAGCGAAUUUAUGAAGACCUGGUUCUCUUGCCUCAAGGUCAAGAAUCCAGACAUGGCACAGAGGGGAAGCUCAUCAUUGCUCUACAAUGUCUGGACCCUCAAUUUGGAUGACUUGUACAUCUGGUGAAGAAAAUGGCCUGAGACUGGUUGGGUCUCUAUCUCCCUCCCACAUGGAGUCUCCAUGGGGCUAGCUUCGGCUUCCUCACACCAUGGCGACCUUAGGGUAGUCAAUUUCUCAAAUGAUGGUUCAGAGCUUCAAGAGGAAGGAAGCAAAAAAUGCCAGUCCUCUUAAAGGCUAGAUCUGGAAGUGAGAGAGCAUCACUCCUGCCACGCUUUAUUGGUCAAAGCCAUCACAGUUCAUCCAAGAUUCAGCAGAGGGAAGAUAGACCUUACCUUUCAGUGAAAGAACUGUCAAAGAAUUAGUGGCCAUUUUUAAUUCAGCACAUUUGACGUGCACAAAAUGCGGCUGAAUGGAUCAUUCAUCAGAAAUAACAGGUGGCUUUCUAAACUCAUCAGCAGUUUUGCUCUAAUAUAGAUACAGCCUUAUUUCUAAAAUAGUUCCAUGCUGUCCCUCCCCAUUUUCUUUCUUACAAGAUCAAAUUUUUAACUUGAGAUUUUUGAGUUUUACUCACAAAACUUUAUUCUCUUCUUCCUACUUCCCGAGAGAAAGCCUCAAUUUGUUAGGCUCACCUACAACUCCUUCCCAGGUGCAAAAGGCCUGUCCCUGUUUCAUUGUCAACUCCCCUCUCUUUCAAAGCCUCUGAUCACUCUGUUUCCUUCAACAGAGUGUUUUGGUGAUUGAGUGCAAGUGAAUGGAAACAGAAAUGCAACAGAUUUCCGUACACUGAUUUUAUAUCCUGUGAGUUUGCUGAAUUCGUGUAUCAGUUCUAGUAAUUUUUGGAGUCUUUCAG